rnacentral:rRNA from 1 species
UAGGGAAUCUUCCACAAUGGGCGAAAGCCUGAUGGAGCAACGCCGCGUGAGUGAUGAAGGCCUUCGGGUUGUAAAACUCUGUCUUCUGUGACGAACAAGCCUGUGAGUGGAAAGCUCAGGCCCUGACGGUAACAGAGGAGGAAGCCACGGCUAACUACGUGCCAGCAGCCGCGGUAAUACGUAGGUGGCGAGCGUUGUCCGGAAUCACUGGGCGUAAAGCGCGCGCAGGCGGCGAUCUACGUCUGGGGUGAAAGCCCGGAGCUCAACUCCGGGACUGCCUUGGAUACGGGAUCGCUUGAGGAUUGGAGAGGCAAGGGGAAUUCCACGUGUAGCGGUGAAAUGCGUAGAGAUGUGGAGGAACACCUGUGGCGAAGGCGCCUUGCUGGCCAAUUACUGACGCUGAGGCGCGAAAGCGUGGGGAGCAAACAGGAUUAGAUACCCUGGUAGUCCACGCCGUAAACGAUGAGUGCUAGGUGUUGGGGGUA